AUUUGGUAAGUUUUCUAAGCAGAAAGUCUGAAACUUGAGUACAAGUGUGUAUUACCAUUUUGACAAAAGCAAACAGCAGAAGCUGUAAAACAUCUGACUUGUACAAAUGUUGGGAAUCUGCAAGAAUCUUAAUUUUUGGAAGUGAUUGCUCAUCCUGGUUUGGUACAGUAGUAAACCACAUAAUGAAAAGCGUUUAUCGCCAAUUUAUCAAAUUUUCAGAGAAGUUGAGUUUAGUCACCAAAAGUAGGACUAAGUCUGAGUUUACUCACAAAACUACAAAUUAGACACAUAAUAGACAACCUGCCACAUGAAGUAGUCAAGUAGCACUGUUGGUUUGUUAAAGUAGAAUCAGAUCUUUUGCAUCAAUGUCCUCAUAAUACUUGGAAUCUCUGCAAACUGCUUUCAUCUCAACCUAUUCCGUUAGCCACUGGAUCAGCUUCAUCACAACUUAGAUCAACUCAUUUUCUGCUGUAAACCUGCACAUCCAUUGUCAACAUGAUUACAACUCAAAACAGGUUCUUUUUAUCAAAGCAGGUUCUAGUGCAACAAUAUUUGCCAAAAUCGGAAACUUAAUUAACAAGUAAAAAUAAACUAACGAUAAACUAUUACGGAUUAUAUAGUAUUCAGUUCUAAUCUUGUAAAACCAUAGAUACUAUUACAGCAGAGUGGAAACACUAAUGAAAGAACAUUACAACUGUGGUCCAAGGUACUAUUCUGAUAUAUGUAGAUGAUAAUUGUUAUCAUAAUCUAAAAGCAGAUUCUAAGAAGCAAUUAACAAAGCUGUCAAAACAUAACUGCGUAUAUUUUUUCUGGGAUGUUUGAUCGUAAAUAUUCUGGGAAGUGACUUGAACUCCAACAUGAAUCCAAACUGACUCUGUACCACGAGGCAUUUGAUGUGAACUUCAAUUCAAAUAUCACAAAGUUUGUUAUAGUAACAGUUCAGAUAGCACUAUAACAGAAGAGGAAGAAAAUAUAUGAAAAGUAAUGACAUGGGAAUUUUUAUACAAGACAGUUUGGUUAGGGAAUUGGUACUUACAAACCCAACAGUUAAUAAUCCUGUGCCACACAAUUUGAAUCUCUAGGAAGCAUUUGUAACUGUUUAGUAAUCAUUUCCUUCAUUU
rnacentral:lncRNA from 1 species